GCCAAACAGGUUCAACCCAUUAUGCGUAAUCACAAAUGGCGUGUCAAGCUCCUCUCGGAAUUUUGUCCAAACAACCCAGCUCUUCUGGGGUUGAACGUGGGAGGUGGAGCGCAUGUGAAACUCAGGCUUCGUAGACCAAACAGAGAUUGGGAUUUCAUUCCAUUUGAUCAGGUUCUUGAUACGAUGCUUCAUGAACUAUGCCAUAAUGUUCACGGUCCUCACAACGCCAAUUUCUACAAGCU
rnacentral:misc_RNA from 1 species